UGCAGUCGAACGAUGAAGGAGGAGCUUGCUCUCCGGAUUAGUGGCGAACGGGUGAGUAAUACGUGAGCAAUGUGCCCUUGACUCUGGGAUAAGCGCUGGAAACGGCGUCUAAUACCGGAUACGACGACCGGAGGCAUCUCCUGGUCGUGGAAAGAACUUCGGUCAAGGAUCAGCUCACGGCCUAUCAGCUAGUUGGUGAGGUAACGGCUCACCAAGGCGACGACGGGUAGCCGGCCUGAGAGGGUGACCGGCCACACUGGGACUGAGACACGGCCCAGACUCCUACGGGAGGCAGCAGUGGGGAAUAUUGCACAAUGGGCGCAAGCCUGAUGCAGCAACGCCGCGUGAGGGACGAAGGCCUUCGGGUUGUAAACCUCUUUUAGCAGGGAAGAAGCGAAAGUGACGGUACCUGCAGAAAAAGCACCGGCUAACUACGUGCCAGCAGCCGCGGUAAUACGUAGGGUGCAAGCGUUGUCCGGAAUUAUUGGGCGUAAAGAGCUCGUAGGCGGUUUGUCACGUCUGCUGUGAAAACCCGAGGCUCAACCUCGGGCUUGCAGUGGGUACGGGCAGACUAGAGUGCGGUAGGGGAGAUUGGGAAUUCCUGGUGUAGCGGUGGAAUGCGCAGAUUAUCAGGAGGAACACCCGAUGGCGAAGGCAGAUCUCUGGGCCGUAACUGACGCUUGAGGAGCGAAAGCAUGGGGAGCAAACAGGCUUAGAUACCCUGGGUAGUCCAUGCCGUAAACGUUGGGAACUAGAUGUGGGGACCAUUCCACGGUCUCCGUGUCGUAGCUACGCAUUAAGUUCCCCGCCUGGGGAGUACGGCCGCAAGGCUAAAACUCAAGGAAUUGACGGGGGCCCGCACAAGCGGCGGAGCAUGCGGAUUAAUUCGAUGCAACGCGAGAACCUUACCAAGCUGACAUAUACGAGAACGCACUGGGAGACAGUGAACUCUUGGACACUCGUA
rnacentral:rRNA from 1 species